AUGCAAGUCGACGCGUAAGUCGCUUCGGCGGCGAGUAGAGUGGCGGACGGGUGAGUAACGCGUGGGAAUCCGCCCUGUAGUGGGGGACAACCCGAGGAAACUCGGGCUAAUACCGCAUACGUCCUACGGGAGAAAGGAGGCCUCUGAUUCAAGCUUCCGCUACAGGACGAGCCCGCGUCGGAUUAGCUGGUUGGUAGGGUAAAGGCCUACCAAGGCGACGAUCCGUAGCUGGUCUGAGAGGAUGAUCAGCCACACUGGGACUGAGACACGGCCCAGACUCCUACGGGAGGCAGCAGUGGGGAAUAUUGGACAAUGGGGGCAACCCUGAUCCAGCAAUGCCGCGUGUGUGAAGAAGGCCUGCGGGUUGUAAAGCACUUUCAGUCGGGAAGAAAAGCCCGAGGUCAAUAGCCUCGGGACUUGACGUUACCGACACAAGAAGCACCGGCUAACUCCGUGCCAGCAGCCGCGGUAAUACG
rnacentral:rRNA from 1 species